rnacentral:rRNA from 1 species
CACGUAGGAGGCAAGCGUUAUCCGGAUUUACUGGGCGUAAAGCGCGUGCAGGUGGUUCGGUAAGUUGGAUGUGAAAGCUCCUGGCUCAACUGGGAGAGGUCGUUCAAUACUACCGGGCUUGAGAAUAGUAGAGGAAGAUGGAAUUCCCGGUGUAGUGGUGAAAUGCGUAGAUAUCGGGAGGGACACCAGUGGCGAAAGCGGUCUUCUGGACUAUUUCUGACACUCAGACGCGAAAGCUAGGGUAG